rnacentral:rRNA from 1 species
ACUCCUACGGGAGGCAGCAGUGGGGAAUAUUGGACAAUGGGGGGAACCCUGAUCCAGCCAUGCCGCGUGUGUGAAGAAGGCCUUAUGGUUGUAAAGCACUUUAAGCGAGGAGGAGGCUACUGAGACUAAUACUCUUGGAUAGUGGACGUUACUCGCAGAAUAAGCACCGGCUAACUCUGUGCCAGCAGCCGCGGUAAUACAGAGGGUGCGAGCGUUAAUCGGAUUUACUGGGCGUAAAGCGUGCGUAGGCGGCUUUUAAGUCGGAUGUGAAAUCCCCGAGCUUAACUUGGGAAUUGCAUUCGAUACUGGGAAGCUAGAGUAUGGGAGAGGAUGGUAGAAUUCCAGGUGUAGCGGUGAAAUGCGUAGAGAUCUGGAGGAAUACCGAUGGCGAAGGCAGCCAUCUGGCCUAAUACUGACGCUGAGGUACGAAAGCAUGGGAGCAAACAGGAUUAGAUACCCCGUGGUAGGAAAGCC